rnacentral:siRNA from 1 species
GUUAAUCCUGCGCAUUUCCGCCA